GUGCCAGCCGCCGCGGUAAGACAGAGGUGCCAAGCGUUAGGCGGAAUCACUGGGCUUAAAGCGUGUGUAGGUGGAUGCCUAAGUACCUUGUGAAAUCCCACGGCUCAACCGUGGAACUGCUUGGUAUACUGGGUGUCUUGAGCCAACCAGGGGCAGCCGGAACAAACGGUGGAGCGGUGAAAUGCGUAGAUAUCGUUUGGAACGCCAACGGCGAAAGCAGGCUGCUGGAGUUGUGCUGACACUGAGACACGAAAGCCAGGGGAGCAAACGGGAUUAGAAACCCUGGUAGUCC
rnacentral:rRNA from 1 species